UCCCUCAGUAACGGCGAGUGAAGCGGGAAGAGCUCAAAUUUAAAAUCUGGCUUACUUGUAAGUCCGAGUUGUAGUCUGAAGAAACGUUUUCCAUAAGCACUGAGGCACAAGUCCCUUGGAACAGGGCAUCAUAGAGGGUGAGAAUCCCGUCCAUGGUCUCAAGUUGCUUAUUUUGUGAUACGUUUUCAAAGAGUCAGGUUGUUUGGGAAUGCAGCCUAAAAUGGGUGGUAAAUUUCAUCUAAAGCUAAAUAUUGGCGAGAGACCGAUAGCGAACAAGUACCGUGAGGGAAAGAUGAAAAGAACUUUGAAAAGAGAGUUAAACAGUACGUGAAAUUGUUGAAAGGGAACCGUUUGAAGCCAGUCUUACUUGCUCGUGAUCAGUUUGUGCCUCGGCAUGAAUGCACUCUCGGGUAUGGUAGGCCAACGACAGUUUAGAAUGCGAGAAAAAAAUUUGGGAAAUGUGGCCUUCGGGUGUUAUAGUCCCUUAUGAAAUAUCGUGUUCUGGACUGAGGAUCGCAGUAAAAAUGUGGGCAGGUAGAUUUCUGUGGUGAAUGAUUAUUAGGACAACUUGUUGACCUAGUUUUCAUGAGCCUCACUGUUUGUCUUGCUUCUAAUUUGCUUAGGUCGUUGGCAUAAUGGCUUUAAAUGACC
rnacentral:rRNA from 1 species